CCUGGAGGGAAUAAAAAAAAAAAGAUACGCCCCACCGUCACCAUCCACGUUUAUUUCCGUAAACAAUCAGUGCUUCUUUACUUGUUUUCAUGGAGGUUGACAAAGCACUGAGCACACUCUCUACGCGGGAGGUUAUUGCGCCCUCUGGUGCGCAUGCGGGACAUUUCAGGUCGUUGCAGUUCCCACCGGAGUACGAGCCGCACAUAUUUGGAAAUGCGAAAUGAACGCGGCAUUUUGGAAGAAUUGGGUCUUUUGAGUGUGAACGUAACCUAUGCUACUCGACAGUUGGUGGUUACCAGAGCAACCGGUAACUUUCAGCUCGUCCCCUUGAACAUCUGUAACUGCGGGGCCGACCCUGCUGGACUGAACCACCAGCUUCACCCUUUUUCCUGUUAGCUUUUCUUUCGUCUUGUCUCUGUGAGCUGAUGGAGGGAUGUAAGAGAGUGAUGGCAGCCCUGUCUGAGAACUUGCUGACAGUCAGCAUGUUGCUGAGUGUCUUUUUUCUUCCAGGAAUUCAGACUGCAUGUCAUUCGACUCACAUGGGAAUCAACAUUACUGCGCCAAAGCAUGUUGACGCUCUGAGUGGAUCCUGUUUGCUAAUUCCAUGUAGCUUUACUGACGACAAGAUCAUGAAGUUUGACAGCAGAAGAAAAACAUUUGGAAUCUGGAUAAAAACGUCAAUCUACAUUGUUUCUUUUCCAAGGAAUAUAGUUUACAACACCAGUUGGUCAGAAAGCAAAUAUGGAAUCAACAUAAUUGGAAGUCUGAGUGAGAGAAACUGCACAACUGUGUUUUCUAAAAUGGUUAAAGAGUAUGGAGGUACAUACUACUUCAGAGUUGAAAGCGGGCCGUUCAGAUCAUUUGCUACCUGUGAUCCUAUUCAAGUAACAGUUAAAGAUUCUGCUUGGAGCCCCAGGAUUGAAAUCUCAGGUGACAUGAAGGAGAAGAACUCUGUCACCGUAACGUGCUCAGCUCUCACUCCCUGUCCACAAUCACCUCCUGGACUCACCUUGAACCUCCAACCAAACCCUCACAGACAGAUGGAGAGGAACAAAGAUGGAACGUUUACAACUACAAUCCAGCAGAACAUCACUCUGUCAGAGAUCCACGAUGGAUACAACAUCACCUGCUUUGCCAUAUAUCCUGUGGAUGGAGGAAAACACAAGUCAGCAGAUACAGAUGUGACUCUCAGUGUUUCCUAUUCUCCCAAGAACACCUCAGUAUCCAUCACUUUAACAAAAGGUAGAUGGGUGGAGCUGCGUUGCUCCAGCAGAGCCAAGCCUCCCGUCAGCGUCUUCACCUGGUUUGAGAAAACCUCAAAUGGAGCCUUGAAAGUAGGUGAAGGAGAAAAUUAUGGACUCCAUGUCACUGAGGAGGAAGCUUAUUACUGUGUGGCCACGAAUGAUGUUGGUAGUCAGAAAUCUCCAGAGAUUCGUCUGACUCUUCCAGCAAUAGGGAUUGGGCUGUCUCAUGAAGGUCUUGGAAGAAAAGGAAUUGAGCGUUCUGAAGUUCAUAUUCCAAUUCUGACAGUAUUAGGGAUUAUAAUGCUUUUCUGCGUGUUCAAAAUCAUCAUUUGGCUUCACAGGAAGAGACCCCAAACUCCAUAACAGCUCGGUGUAGGUGGAGUUCCACACUGUUCUCAUGAUAGAAAAUCUCCCCAAACAAACGAUACUCCACUUAGUGACUAACUGGGCCUUGAAUUGUGAGCCAGUACCACUGAGGGAGCUGUUUAACAUGAGGAUCUAAACUUCUUGAUAAAACAGCUUCCUCCAUGCAUAGCGGCAGACGGCGACAGGAGACGACGUACACACAGAUCUCCAGAUCUCUAAGACAAAGCAGCUCAGCAGAGUCUGACUGCCCAGAGGUCAUCAACACACAAGAGAAUAAACAUUGACCUCUUUGGAUAAAGACACUUUCUGUCUGUAA